rnacentral:rRNA from 1 species
AUGAACGCUAGCUACAGGCUUAACACAUGCAAGUCGAGGGGCAGCGGGAUUGAAGCUUGCUUCAAUUGCCGGCGACCGGCGCACGGGUGAGUAACGCGUAUCCAACCUUCCGCUUACUCGGGGAUAGCCUUUCGAAAGAAAGAUUAAUACCCGAUGGUAUCUUAAGCACGCAUGAGAUUAAGAUUAAAGAUUCAUCGGUAAGCGAUGGGGAUGCGUUCCAUUAGGCAGUUGGCGGGGUAACGGCCCACCAAACCUACGAUGGAUAGGGGUUCUGAGAGGAAGGUCCCCCACAUUGGAACUGAGACACGGUCCAAACUCCUACGGGAGGCAGCAGUGAGGAAUAUUGGUCAAUGGGCGAGAGCCUGAACCAGCCAAGUAGCGUGAAGGAUGACGGCCCUACGGGUUGUAAACUUCUUUUGUGCGGGAAUAAAGGAGCCUACGUGUAGGCUUUUGCAUGUACCGUAACGAAUAAGCAUCGGCUAACUCCGUGCCAGCAGCCGCGGUAAUACGGAGGAUGCGAGCGUUAUCCGGAUUUAUUGGGUUUAAAGGGAGCGUAGACGGGUUUUUAAGUCAGCUGUGAAAGUUUGGGGCUCAACCUUAAAAUUGCAGUUGAAACUGGAGACCUUGAGUACGGUUGAGGCAGGCGGAAUUCGUGGUGUAGCGGUGAAAUGCUUAGAUAUCACGAAGAACCCCGAUUGCGAAGGCAGCCUGCUAAGCCGCCACUGACGUUGAGGCUCGAAAGUGCGGGUAUCAAACAGGAUUAGAUACCCUGGUAGCCCGCACGGUAACCGAUGGAUACUCGCUGUUGGCGAUAGACGGUCAGCGGCCAAGCGAAAGCGUUAAGUAUCCCACCUGGGGAGUACGCCGGCAACGGUGAAACUCAAAGGAAUUGACGGGGGCCCGCACAAGCGGUGGAGCAUGUGGUUUAAUUCGAAGCAACGCGAAGAACCUUACCAGGUCUUGACAUCCCGAUGCUAUUCUUAGAGAUAGGAAGUUACUUCGGUACAUCGGAGACAGGUGGUGCAUGGUUGUCGUCAGCUCGUGUCGUGAGAUGUUGGGUUAAGUCCCGCAACGAGCGCAACCCUUAAGCUUAGUUGCCAUCAUUAAGUUGGGCACUCUAAGUUGACUGCCGGUGACAAACCGGAGGAAGGUGGGGAUGACGUCAAAUCAGCACGGCCCUUACGUCCGGGGCUACACACGUGUUACAAUGGGGAGUACAGAGGGCAGCUACCGGGCGACCGGAUGCGAAUCCCGAAAGCUCCUCUCAGUUCGGACUGGAGUCUGCAACCCGACUCCACGAAGCUGGAUUCGCUAGUAAUCGCGCAUCAGCCACGGCGCGGUGAAUACGUUCCCGGGCCUUGUACACACCGCCCGUCAAGCCAUGAAAGCCGGGGGUACCUGAAGUACGUAACCGCGAGGAUCGUCCUAGGGUAAAACCGGUAAUUGGGGCU